GUGGCGCGUGGGGAGACGCGCCGCCACUGUCCUACUGCCCAUUAUUCUUCACAGCACCGUUCCCAGCAAUUCCAGGAGGCUUUGGGGGGCUAUUUUGUAAAUUUAAAAUUGUUGAUGUUUUUUUUUUAUUUAGCAUUUGAUUUCUUUUUUUAUUGUACUUUGUAAAUAUGGAUGUAAAAGAAAAAGAAAAGAAAAGAAAAGAAACAAAAAUAGUGAAAGUGUAUGUAUG
rnacentral:lncRNA from 1 species